rnacentral:tRNA from 1 species
GCAUUAGUAGUUCAGUGGUAGAAUUCUUGCCUUCCAUGCAGGAGACCCAGGUUCAAUUUGCGGCCGGUGCA